rnacentral:rRNA from 1 species
UACGAAGGGGGCUAGCGUUGCUCGGAAUCACUGGGCGUAAAGGGUGCGUAGGCGGGUCUUUAAGUCGGGGGUGAAAUCCUGGAGCUCAACUCCAGAACUGCCUUCGAUACUGGCGAUCUCGAGUUCGGGAGAGGUGAGUGGAACUGCGAGUGUAGAGGUGAAAUUCGUAGAUAUUCGCAAGAACACCAGUGGCGAAGGCGGCUCACUGGCCCGAUACUGACGCUGAGGCACGAAAGCGUGGGGAGCAAACAGG